GUUGUAAAUAUAUUUUUAAUAAUUAUUUAGAAAUGAAACGUUAUUCGUUUUUAAAUAUAUCUAGUUUAUUUAGAAAAAAAUUUAAUUUUAAAUUUAAUAAUAAACUAAUUUAAUUAAUUAAAUUAGUUUAUUAUUAAAUUUUAUAUUUUAGGGGAUAAGCUUUAAAUUAAAUUUUUAUAGUAAUUUAAUUAAUUUAAUGAAAUUUAUAUGAUUUAUAUUAUUAAAAAAUUUUAGUUUAUUAUAAAUAAUUUCAUUACAAUGAAAAUUUAAUUAAAAUUAAUUUUUUAUAAAUAAAUUUUUUAAAAUAAUUAAAAAUUAUAUAUAAUGAUAAAAUUAGUAUAUAUUAAUAAUUAAUAAAAUUUAUUUAAUUAAAUUAUAUUAUUUAAAUUAAUUAAUUAAAAUUAAUUCGGCAAAUAUUUAUAUUCACUUGUUUAACAAAAACAUGUCUUUUUGAAUUAAUUUAAAGUCUAAUCUGCCCACUGAUAUAAAUUAAAGGGCUGCAGUAUUUUGACUGUACAAAGGUAGCAUAAUCAUUAGUCUCUUAAUUAGUGACUUGUAUGAAAGAUUGAAUGAAAUAUAAACUGUCUCUUAAUUAAUUUAUAGAAUUUAAUUUUUUAUUUAAAAAGUUAAAAUAUUUUUAAAAAGACGAGAAGGCCCUAUAGAGUUUUAUAUUUUUUUUUAUUAAUAUUUAUUUAUAAAUUUAUUAAUUUUAUUAAAAAAAAUUAUUAUGUUGGGGUGAUAGAAAAAUAAAAUUAACUUUUUUUAUAAAUUUAAACAUAAAUAAUUGUUUUUUGAUCCAUUAUUAAUGAUUAUAAGAUUAAAUUACCUUAGGGAUAACAGCGUUAUUUUUUUUUUUAGUACAAAUAAGAAAAAAAGUUUGCGAC
rnacentral:rRNA from 1 species